rnacentral:rRNA from 1 species
GUCUACAGCCAUGCCACCCUGAGCACACCCGACCCUGUCUGAUCUCGGAAGGUAAGCAGGGUCGGGACUGGUUAGUACUUGGAUGGGAGACCACCUAGGAAGACUGGGUGCUGUAGGCG